rnacentral:lncRNA from 1 species
GAAAUGUUUUGCAUGACUUCACAUGUAUAAUGAAUAUCGUUAUUGCCUGCCUUCUCAAGAAGCUGGGGAAAGAUGGGAGGAAUGGAGAGUUGCCUUUGCGUAGCUGUCUCGAUUCCUGGAAUAUACUCUUUUCAUUUCCAUUGCCUAAAUUGUGGCAAGAUUCAGGCCAUCUGCAACUUCCUCCAGGAAGCAAUUCCUGAUUCCCCUAGUGGUUUGGGGCCCCUGAACCCCCUUCAAAUGAUCAGGUUGGGCUUAAUGAUGUUUGUGGGGUUGGACUAGAUUGGAAUUGGAUAACUGUUGAACCACCCGAGUGCUGCACGAAUACCCAAGAAUUACUGCAAAAUCCAGAGGCCUCCAAUAUGCUGAGUAGAUCUUCCAUGUAGUGGACAUAGAUAAAAUUCACAGGUCCUUCUGAUGUACAAGAGGCAGUACAGCUCAAUGAGAAUUGGAUUCAAGAGCCAGAGGACUUGGGGUCCCAUCCCAGUUCUGCCACUUGAUCAUGUAGAUCUGAUCAAGUGCCUUUCCAUGCUCAGUUUCCUACUCUAUAUAACACUAAUACUUGCCCUACCUAUCUCACAGGAGCUUUGUGAAGAUCAAAGACAAUGAAAUUAGGAAACACUACCCCAGCCUUCCCCAUCAUCACCCUCACCACCUGAUUUCUCUUGUCCCCUCUACUCACUCUUUUGAUCAAUAAUGGGACAGAGAGAGGACCUAGGAUUUCAGUGACAAAAAUGAACUCCCAGAGAGAAAAUUCCCUUUACCCUUGUAAGAUAGCAUCUUCUCAGCACUUGGAAGUAAAGUGACUUAUCCUCCUAGAACAAUCAAGGCUGAGAUGCAGGGGGGUGUGACUAAGAAGGGUUCCACAUUAGAAUUAUUCCUACACCAAAGCCCUUUUCUGAACAUACUGAUUUCUGAAAAUACAAAUAUUUAUAGAAAAUUUAGAGCUCUGCAUGUUACAUGAAAAACUUCAUCUGACCCUAUUAACAAUCAAUUCUCUAAAGCAGGUUAUAGGUGAUAUCUCUCCAUUUUACAGAUGAGUAAACCAAGGGUCAGAGUGUUUAAGUACAUUGUCACAUAAUUAGUAAGUAUCGGAGUAAGGAUAUGAACUCAGAUCUUUCUGAUUUUAAGUCUAAUCUCACUCCAGAACACCAAGAUCAGAGCCAAUGGGAUUGGAGAACAAUGAAUCUUUGCAUUUGUAAUGGGCUGAAAAGAGUACCUGAGAUUGAAUUCAAGAGCCAGUACGUGGAGGAAAUUGAAGCUCACAGAAAGGAAAUUACUCGCUCAAGGACAGACUCGUAGAAGAAGAAGAAGAAGAAGCCAUGUUAUUUCUACUCACUACAAUCCAGCUGGGCUUUAAAGGCCCAGAAGAAAUUCAACAAGCAAAAAGAGAAAGGGAUAGCAUUCCAGGUUUGCAUCCAUGAUGAACCUAAAUAAAUCUCAGAAUCUCAGAGACAAACUAAAUGAAAAAGAAAACUAGUUGGAAAACUUCAGAACUUUGGCCAAUAUGAUGAUAAAUCAUCUUGC